GCGCUGUGAGCAGAGGGGCCCGGGUGGAGAAGGUGCUGCCGGCCAGCGGGAGGGAGGGCAGCGGGGGUGCAGCAGAAGCCCAGGUGGGGACUUGGGGUGGUCGAGGGGACCCUUGGGCUGCAGGGACUGGGGAGGGGAGCAAGGGGUAUGGCUUAGGCAGGUGCCAGGGGACGGUUGGUGCCCUUUAUUCUGAAGGGGGAUGUGCUGCCCAGGGCAGCGGGACCUGGAAUUACAUUUUGAGAUUUCCAGGAAAGUUUCAGGUGGAGGCAGAGGCUGGGCGCAGAGGAAAAUGUGGCAGUGGCAGAGUGUGGGGUGAGAGCCACGAAGAGAGGAGGUCACUGAGGUGGACAGUGGGACAGAGAGAGGGACGGGGAGAGGAACAGGAGUUUCAGAAACGUCCUGGACACAUUGGGCAGCCGUCAGCAUUGCUUUCCAUUCAUGGACAAAGCGUGGGUGCCCAGAAGAGGCCAGAAGCCAGUGCAGAAGCCCAGGCCUCCCUGCCAUCACCCGGUGCUGGCUGAGCUGCAAAUGGCUGUGCAGAGCCUCCUCCAUGCCUCACCCUGGUCUGGACCGGACCACAGGGCCCUUUGGAUCCUUUCCCAGGUCCCACGUCUGACCCACACCCAGAAGCAGCGCUUGGUGGAGUCUGCCCUGAAGAUGCACGUCCAACAAUAUGCAAACACCCAAAAGGUUAUAGGCUGUGCAUUGUGUCACAAGGGAGCACUGUGCAGCCGUGACAGAUGAGUGACAAUGUAGGGUGGUUCCCACGACCCGCUGCUGAGCACGAAGCAGGUGCAGAUGUGUAUCUGCAGCGUGUGCUCUUCAGGUAAGGGAGAUGGGGAGAGAAGCAGUUACUCGGGUGCUCUGGAGGAAGGAAAGAUAAACCAGGACCUAAAGAGAGUUGUUGCCUGCAGGGGCGGAUGGGAGUGGGGCAGAAAGAAGGGAACGGGAAUGGAGUAGCAGGGAUGGGGCGGAGCAACAUUUUUCUAAGGAGACUUUCUGUGAAGCGCCCCAUUCUUAGAAUCACAGUGAUGUUUCAUAGCCCCCCAAAAUAAUGAAGAUCAACCAGAUUGUGGGAGAAAUUCCAAAUGGAUAUAAACAGUAACAAGCAAACUUCACUGUUCAAAAGGAAUAACUUUACCAUCCUGAAUCCAGGGUGAAGGAAAGAAACGAGUAACUGUGGGCCAGGAACAGUGGCUUACGCCUGUAAUUCCAGCACUUUGGGAGGCUGAGGCAGGAUCACCUGAGGUAAGGAGUUCAAGACCAGCCUGGCCAUCACGGUGAAACCCUGUCUCUACUAAAAAUACAAAAAUUAGUUGGGCAUGGUGGUGCACACGCCUGUAGUCCCAGCUACUGGGGAGGCUGAGGCAGGAGGCCCAGGAUGUGGAGGUUGCAGUGAGCUGAGAUCACAUUCAAGCCUGGGCCACAGAGCGAGACUCUAUCUAAAAAGAAAAAAAAAGUAACUUUGGAAAAUAGGAUUUUGAUGGAUACCGUAAGUAAGUUUAAAGACAAAAAGAACUGGACAGAAUACUGGAGAUCAAGCUUGUCCAACUCGCGGCUUCUGGGCUGUGCGGCCCAGGACAGCUUUGAAUGCGGCCCAACACAAAUUUGUAAACUUUCGUAAGACAUUAUGAGAUUUUUUUGCGAUUUUUUUUUUUUUAACUCAUCAGUCAUCAUUAAUGUUAGUGUAUUUUAUGUGUGGUGCAAUACAGUUGUUCAGUGUGGCCCAGGGAAGCCAAAAGCUUGGACACCCCUGCUGUAGAUGGUGACUGUUUUUCACAUGGGUCCAGGCCAGCAGUUCUGAAAUGUAUGUACACACGAGGAUUGACCACACAGGUCUUUAAGCUCAAAGGGUCUAGAAACGAUGAUAUCCCAGCCACAGUGAGCUCACCUUGCACUCAGAUCUUCGUUUUCUAGCACUAUUCUCCAGCGUAUGAAACUGGCAAUCCUUGGAGAACUGGUUUGUUCCAGGACUGGGGCAG
rnacentral:lncRNA from 1 species